rnacentral:misc_RNA from 1 species
AAUGUUUAGUAGCAUAUGUGC